UAUAUCGUAGAUAUAUGUGCAUAUACAUACGUACAUGUAUGAGCGUACUACAAAUUAAACUCGUUCGGAAUUUCUACAAACGCUUGAAUAGUGCGGUUCUUUAACGGUGCUGCGUUUUUUUAGCUGCGGACGAAGUAAACGAUAAUUUCCACUCACCUUUCUAUGACUGCUAACUAACUGUGCUCAAAAACGCAACAAUUAAAUCAACAACAGUGCAAUUAAACACAAUACGACGAGCGACGACGAGCGCAUGGAGCGCACACACACACACAAACAAAAAACUUAUUAAAUGAAAAAUAAUUAAAAGCGACGACAAAUCGCGUAUUGACCGCAAAAGCGCAUACAAAGAAAUACUACAACAAAAAGAAUUCAAAAAAGAAAAA